rnacentral:pre_miRNA from 1 species
AGCGCGUCGCGUCGUGGAAGACUAGUGAUUUUGUUGUUGUACAUUCACGUUUUGACAACAAGUCACAGUCUACCUCAGCGCGUCGCGCA